CAUACAUGGCUUCCACGUGAUGCCCCAACCGCCCAAUCGGCAUAUCUACGCUAAGAACCCUCAUACCAAAGCCAGCACCGAGGCACGGCCCAUACGUUCAUGAAUUAAACAUAAUUAUUCUACCUGCUACCGUCCCCUAUGUAAAAGCCCUAUGGACAACAAACCAUAUAAGCCCCCCUUUCCCCCUUUUGGCAGAUGGACAGCAGCAUCAGCAAAGCAGCAUUCGUGGGCAGCAACAGGAGCGAUAGCAUACAUAUAUGAGGUAAGGUGGGCCUGCUGGCAACACAAGAAAUAGGAUGCCAUAGCAUCUGUCGUGGGGCUACCGUCACGGGGGAUGGGUAAACAUUGAAGUGGUGACCGAGGUGAAGCGGGUUGGUUAUGAGGGCGGGUUUCAGGGUAUCAUGUUGGCCCUUCCCUGCGGCCCCCUAGCCUAAUGCCGUCCUCCCCCUCGGCCCCGCCUAGCCUAACGCCGUCCUCCCCUGCGGCCCCGCCUAGCCUAACGCCGUCCUUCCCUGCGGCCCCCUAACCUAACGCCAUCCUCCCCUGCGGCCCCCUAGCCUAACGCCGUCCUCCCCUGCGGCCCCCUAGCCUAACGCCGUCCUCCCCUGCACCCCACCCCAGCCCAACGCCGUCCUCCCCUGCGGCCCCCUAGCCCACCGCUGUCCUCCCCUGCGCCCCCCUAGCCUAACGCCGUCCUCCCCUGCGGCCCCCUAGCCUAAUGCCGUCCUCCCCUGCGGCCCCCUAGCCUAACGCCGUCCUCCCCUGCGGCACCCCAGCCCAAUGCUGUCCUCCCCUGCGGCCCCCCUAGCCCAACGCCGUCCUCCCCUGCGGCCCCCUAGCCUAAUGCCAUCCUCCCCUGUGGCCCCCCCUAGCCCAACGCCGUCCUCCCCUGUGGCCCCCUAGCCUAACGCCGUCCUCCCCUGCAGACUCCAGCCCAACGCCGUCCUCCCCUGCGGCCCCCUAGCCCACCACUGUCCUCCCCUGCGGCCCCCUAGCCCAAUGCUGUCCUCCCCUGCGGCCCCCUAGCCUAAUGCCGUCCUCCCCUGCGGCCCCCUAGCCUAACGCCGUCCUCCCCUGCGGCCCCCCUAGCCUAACGCCGUCCUCCCCUGCGGCCCCCCAACCCAACGCCGUCCUCCCCUGCACCCCCCUAGCCUAACGCCGUCCUCCCCCUGCGGCCCCCUAGCCCAACGCCGUCCUCCCCUGCGGCCCCCUAGCCUAACGCCGUCCUCCCCUGCGGCCCCCUAGCCCACCACUGUCCUCCCCUGCGGCCCCCUAGCCCAAUGCUGUCCUCCCCUGCGGCCCCCUAGCCCAACGCUGUCCUCCCCUGCGGCCCCCUAGCCUAACGCCGUCCUCCCCUGCGGCCCCCUAGCCUAACGCCGUCCUCCCCUGCGGCCCCCCUAGCCCAACGCCACCCUCCCCUGCGGCCCC
rnacentral:lncRNA from 1 species